GACGAACGCUGGCGGCGUGCUUAACACAUGCAAGUCGAACGGAAAGGCCCUGCUUGCAGGGUACUCGAGUGGCGAACGGGUGAGUAACACGUGGGUGAUCUGCCCUGCACUUCGGGAUAAGCCUGGGAAACUGGGUCUAAUACCGGAUAGGAGCCAUUUUUAGUGUGAUGGUUGGAAAGUUUUUUCGGUGUAGGAUGAGCUCGCGGCCUAUCAGCUUGUUGGUGGGGUAAUGGCCUACCAAGGCGGCGACGGGUAGCCGGCCUGAGAGGGUGGACGGCCACAUUGGGACUGAGAUACGGCCCAGACUCCUACGGGAGGCAGCAGUGGGGAAUAUUGCACAAUGGGCGCAAGCCUGAUGCAGCGACGCCGCGGGGGGGAUGACGGCCUUCGGGUUGUAAUCUCCUUUCGCUAGGGACGAAGCUUUUUGUGACGGUACCUAGAUAAGAAGCACCGGCUAACUACGUG
rnacentral:rRNA from 1 species